UAACCUGCCCAAGAGAUCGGGAUAACACCUGGAAACAGAUGCUAAUACCGGAUAACAAUAGAUGAUGCCUAUCAACUGUUUAAAAGAUGGUUCUGCUAUCACUCUUGGAUGGACCUGCGGUGCAUUAGCUAGUUGGUAGGGUAACGGCCUACCAAGGCGAUGAUGCAUAGCCGAGUCGAGAGACUGAUCGGCAACAUUGGGACUGAGACACGGCCCAAACUCCUACGGGAGGCAGCAGCC
rnacentral:rRNA from 1 species